AAACUACAAAGAACCAUGUAAUAUCAAGGGCUAAAGAUGGAGAAUAUUAAAUCAUCACGAAACUAUAAGUACAAGAUAUUUUAUGUACGAAGUUGAACCACUUAGUUUCAAUGAUAUUAUAAACACCCUACCUAUGGUGUUGUUAUAAGCAAUUCUGCCGAUUGCCCUAAUGAUUAAGCAGCUUUAAAUAAUCUGAAAAAGAAACUGGCAUUCCGUGAAAAAUAUAAUGUUACUGAUGAGAUGGUACUUCCAUUUGAACCUGUGAGUAACUUAUGUUAGAUUUUCAAUAAGAUCUGUAUAUUAUGUAUAAUAAUAUUUAAAAACUAUAAUAAUGUUUAGAAGUAAUUUUUAUUAGAUACCUAUUAUUGAAUCCCAAAUUUUGGAAACUAAUGUGCAGUAACAAGUACAAAAGUCAAAAUGAUGUAGAAAAUUACAAAUUGAUACUUAUAGUAGGAUAAUAGAAAUGACAAAAAGUGCAAGAUGUUAAAAAAUCUUUACAAAAAUAACUUACAGACUCAGAAGAAGCUGUUAAUUAUUAUGAACCCGAAAAAGUUGGCAUUAAAGAGCAUGAAUACUUACCAUGAGAAAGUUAGGAAAAACUUUAUGUCUUGAUUACUGGCUACACGAAUAUGCUUGUUUUGAAUUUAUGGAUUAGGAACAAUAUUGCCAUGAGACGAAUAUUGAUUGAUUGAGUCUCUAUCAGAUUUCACAAAUACUAUUUAUUAAUACCCAG